rnacentral:rRNA from 1 species
AUUGAACGCUGGCGGCAGGCUUAACACAUGCAAGUCGAGCGGGGGAAGGUAGCUUGCUACCGGACCUAGCGGCGGACGGGUGAGUAAUGCUUAGGAAUCUGCCUAUUAGUGGGGGACAACAUCUCGAAAGGGAUGCUAAUACCGCAUACGUCCUACGGGAGAAAGCAGGGGAUCUUCGGACCUUGCGCUAAUAGAUGAGCCUAAGUCGGAUUAGCUAGUUGGUGGGGUAAAGGCCUACCAAGGCGACGAUCUGUAGCGGGUCUGAGAGGAUGAUCCGCCACACUGGGACGGAGACACGGCCCAGACUCCUACGGGAGGCAGCAGUGGGGAAUAUUGGACAAUGGGGGGAACCCUGAUCCAGCCAUGCCGCGUGUGUGAAGAAGGCCUUAUGGUUGUAAAGCACUUUAAGCGAGGAGGAGGCUACUUUAGUUAAUACCUAGAGAUAGUGGACGUUACUCGCAGAAUAAGCACCGGCUAACUCUGUG